CCGAAUAAUCCUCAGCAAAACCUACCACUACCACUAAACCCUCACAAAACCCUAACAUUUCGAUUUCCACCUCUCUCACAGACACAGAAAUGGCGUGGCGAUCCGGAUCCGCAUCUCGCUCCCUCAUCUCAACAGCCAGGGCAUCACUCCGCCCUUCCGUUCCCUCACCCCUCCCCCGCCUCUCUCCGCCACCAAUUGCCGCUCCUCGCCGCCGCUUCUCCAUCCCUACUUCCAGGAAUUUUGGGCCAAUGGGUUGCACGCAAUCGCUUUUACCUCUGCACAGUACGAUGGCUGUUAGCUGCAUGACAUCACACCUUGCCGUCGGUGCCCGGUCUUGCUGCGAGUUGCCCCAUGGUACCUUCCGUCGUUCUUGUCAAGAUCGCUAAUAGUCUCUUUGGAAUGGAAAAGAUGGGUGAUGCGCAAAGGAAAUCAAUCAUCCAAUGGCAGCAGAAGGUUGCUUGUUGCAUUGUGAUCCUGAUUCCUGAGUUGAGGUACGUGAGGAAAUUUGCUUAGUUGCCUUCAAGAAUAUGGAGGACCAAUAAUUGUGGGUAGUAUUGCCUGGGAAGUACUGUUGUCGGAAUCUUGAAUGAGACUGCAUCUGUUAUGAAUAUGACCUUUUUAAUCUGGCUAUUUUUGGCUUAGGAUGGAAUAACCUAUUUUUUCUUUCCAAAGAGCGACAUUAUUUAAGAUUGGUUCUUGAUUCUUCAUGAAUCUAGUUUUUGGUUGAAUGCUGUACAUUUGUGGUGUUUAUUUCAACUAUUUGGGAAUGGGGAAAUGCUAGCAACACACUCCAAUAUUAUUUUUUAA